UGGGGAAUAUUGGACAAUGGGCGCAAGCCUGAUCCAGCCAUGCCGCGUGUGUGAAGAAGGCCUUUUGGUUGUAAAGCACUUUAAGCGAGGAGGAGGUUACUUGGAUUAAUACUCUAGGAUAGUGGACGUUACUCGCAGAAUAAGCACCGGCUAACUCUGUGCCAGCAGCCGCGGUAAUACAGAGGGUGCGAGCGUUAAUCGGAUUUACUGGGCGUAAAGCGUGCGUAGGCGGCUUCUUAAGUCGGAUGUGAAAUCCCUGAGCUUAACUUAGGAAUUGCAUUCGAUACUGGGAAGCUAGAGUAUGGGAGAGGAUGGUAGAAUUCCAGGUGUAGCGGUGAAAUGCGUAGAGAUCUGGAGGAAUACCGAUGGCGAAGGCAGCCAUCUGGCCUAAUACUGACGCUGAGGUACGAAAGCAUGGGGAGCAAACAGG
rnacentral:rRNA from 1 species